GCCUCUGAUUUACGUUAGCGUAACGGCAGCAGUUCUCAUUCACUCACCCCAUUAAACAAAGCAUUUCGUCAUUUACUCACCACUCCACCCACUCUGUCUCAUUGAAUCAGCCCACCCUCUUCCAAGGUAAUGGAUUGAAGCUCCACCUAUAAAUUAUUUUGUUGUCUGCGAUGAACAGCCUCAUCCUUAUGAAAUCCGAAAUAACAAGCUUUGUCAAGCACCAAUUCAAACAAUGGCAACUUCGUACAUGCCCGUCUGAUGGCAAAAGGCUGCGAGCUUAUGGAUGUCAUCAAAGAGGCAGUGUAGUUGAAUCCAACACUGUCCACUUAGUUGUUGUAGUCGUUAAGGCAGAGAUCAUCCGUGAGAUCAUCCGUUGAUGGGUCUGCAAUAAGUAGUGCCUCAUCAAGAGAAGAAGAAAAGGAAAAUGUAGAUCAUUCAGAUGAGGUCUCAGUAAGUAAUGCAAGUGACAUGAACACAGAAUAGGUAGAAGAGUACGAAGCCUGUGUUUACAUCACAAUCAAAGCUUUACCAGAUGGGACUUGCGAGCUUAGACGCGGCAGCUUCAGUGGAGAGAGGUUUGGAGAGACGAAUGCAACAUUGUGGUGGGAAGAGAGCAAAGUUCGGAUUUAGCAGCAGUACUUGUGAUGCUAUCUGCAAGAAUCUUACUCAGCAAAACCAAACACUUUUUUAAACAAAUGUUUUAGUUGGAGAGUAUCUAUACAUUAGUGGAAAUAACGGCUCUGAGAUAAUGAA